rnacentral:rRNA from 1 species
UGGGGAAUAUUGCACAAUGGGCGAAAGCCUGAUGCAGCGACGCCGCGUGAGGGAUGACGGCCUUCGGGUUGUAAACCUCUUUCAGCAGGGAAGAAGCGAAAGUGACGGUACCUGCAGAAGAAGCGCCGGCUAACUACGUGCCAGCAGCCGCGGUAAUACGUAGGGCGCAAGCGUUGUCCGGAAUUAUUGGGCGUAAAGAGCUCGUAGGCGGUUAGUCGCGUCUGCUGUGAAAACUCGAGGCUCAACCUCGGGCUUGCAGUGGGUACGGGCUGACUAGGGUGCAGUAGGGGUGACUGGAAUUCCUGGUGUAGCGGUGGAAUGCGCAGAUAUCAGGAGGAACACCGAUGGCGAAGGCAGGUCACUGGGCCGCAACUGACGCUGAGGAGCGAAAGCAUGGGGAGCGAACAGGAUUAGAUACCCUGGUAGUCCAUGCCGUAAACGUUGGGCACUAGGUGUGGGGUCCAUUCCACGGAUUCCGUGCCGCAGCAAAGCGCAUUAAGUGCCCCGCCUGGGGAGUACGGCCGCAAGGCUAAAACUUAAAGGAAUUG